GGCAGUGUAGUACAAUGGCUAAGGCGUUGGACUUGUAGCCUAAAGGUCGCUGGUUCGAUUUUCCAGUAAUACACUGCCG
rnacentral:tRNA from 1 species